rnacentral:rRNA from 1 species
GUUAAAAAGCUCGUAGUUGGAGUUCUGCCAGGUGCCGCCUGUCCGCCCCAGUGGUGAGUACGUGGCGCGCAUUUGGCCCUUUCAAGGGGAGCGUAUUGCACUUAACUGUGUGGUGCGGGAUCCUUGACUUUUACUUUGAGGAAAUAAGAGUGUUCCAAGCAGGCUCUCGUCGUGCAUAGCUCAGCAUGGAAUAAUAGCAUUGGAUCUCGAUUCCAAACUGUUGGUUGUAGGAAACGAGAUAAUGAUGAAGAGGGAUAGUUGGGGGCAUUCGUAUUUAACUGUCAGAGGUGAAAUUCUUGGAUUUGUUAAAGACGAACUACUGCGAAAGCAUCUGCCAUGGAUGUUUUCAUUGAUCAAGAACGAAAGUUAGGGGAUCGAAGACGAUCAGAUACCGUCCUAGUCUUAACUAUAAACCAUGCCGGCUAGAGAUCGGAGGUUGUUCGUUUUGUGACGCCUUCAGCAUCUUGAGAGAAAUCAAAGCCUUUGGGUUCCGGGGGGAGUAUGGUCGCAAGGCUGAAACUUAAAGGAAUUGACGGAAGGGCACCACCAGGAGUGGAGCCUGCGGCUUAAUUUGACUCAACACGGGGAAACUCACCAGGUCCAGACUGGGUAAGGAUGUACAGAUUGACAGCUCUUUACAGAUUCUCAGGGUGGUGGUGCAUGGCCGUUCUUAGUUGGUGGAGUGAUUUGUCUGGUUAAUUCCGUUAAC